AAUCCUUGGCAAAAUAUAUACAUAUAAGUGGUGAUAAUUAAAAAAAAGGCCCCACGAAAAUUGACACUAGAGUUUUGGUUCUAUGAAGCUAUCUAUCUAUCAAAAUUUAGAUAGUCAUGGAAACAAGUUCAUCAUCUCCUAGAAGAAGCAAAACAAGUGGAGGAUUAUUUUCAUGUUUGGGGCGUUUCAAAUUGAAGAUUCCAUGGGUGAGGAGAACACACAACACUUAUAGACAUGGUGGUGGUUUUAAGUAUGACCCUUUAAGCUAUGCUCAAAACUUUGAUGAUGGUAAUUGGGAGGACGAUGAUGAAGAAUCUUUACGCCGCAGUUUCUCAACUAGAUAUGCUGCACCUUCGACUAAAACGCUCACAUAAUGAUAAGGUUCGGCGUCCGGCAUUUGAGACCGCCAACAUAGAUAGCAUCAUGAGAAAACCAUAUACCAUUUGGAUUAAGGAUCUUGUUACUUUUCCUGCAAAUAACAAAAUGGAAAUUCGAGGGAUUGUACUUGCUGCAAAGGUUUGCCUAUAACCAGAUUGAGCUAGCCAAAGUAUCUGCCAAGCUCAACCUUUGAGACAAAAAGACAAGCACAAGAUGAGCCAAGCACUAACUACCAAAGAAUCAAUACGUAAAAGAAUCCAAGAGCUUUUCCCCUUAUGACAGUAAAAUCUUUUAUACUUGUGGCAUCAGACCAAUUAUUUCAACUACUCAAAGCAACAUUCUUCUCUGCAACAAAUAUAAGCAAGCAAACUACUUACUCAUUAAUCUUAUUCUCAUGUCAUCUAGAGUCAUACUACUUCGAGGUAAAUUAAGAACCUCGAAAUUGAAAGACUAGGAGGACUUUGUGAGUCGACAACUGCAAGUUCUUAACAAAUAACAAAUUCAGUACAUAUAUGCACAAUUUUGUCAAAUAUUCCUUAUAUAGUCACUAAAAGUUCUUAGCACCUCAA